CCUACGGGAGGCAGCAGUGGGGAAUAUUGGACAAUGGGCGAAAGCCUGAUCCAGCCAUGCCGCGUGUGUGAAGAAGGCCUUCGGGUUGUAAAGCACUUUCAGUGGGGAAGAAAGCCUUGGGGCUAAUACCCUCGAGGAAGGACAUCACCUACAGAAGAAGCACCGGCUAACUCCGUGCCAGCAGCCGCGGUAAUACGGAGGGUGCGAGCGUUAAUCGGAAUUACUGGGCGUAAAGCGCGCGUAGGCGGUCUGAUAAGCCGGUUGUGAAAGCCCCGGGCUCAACCUGGGAACGGCAUCCGGAACUGUCAGGCUAGAGUGCAGGAGAGGAAGGUAGAAUUCCCGGUGUAGCGGUGAAAUGCGUAGAGAUCGGGAGGAAUACCAGUGGCGAAGGCGGCCUUCUGGACUGACACUGACGCUGAGGUGCGAAAGCGUGGGUAGCAAACAGGAUUAGAUACCCCGGUAGUC
rnacentral:rRNA from 1 species